GACGAACGCUGGCGGCGUGCUUAACACAUGCAAGUCGAACGGUAAGGCCCUUCGGGGUACACGAGUGGCGAACGGGUGAGUAACACGUGGGUGAUCUGCCCUGCACUUCGGGAUAAGCCUGGGAAACUGGGUCUAAUACCGGAUAGGACCACUGCCUGCAUGGGCGGUGGUGGAAAGCUUUUGCGGUGUGGGAUGGGCCCGGGGCCUAUCAGCUUGUUGGUGGGGUGAUGGCCUACCAAGGCGACGAAGGGUAGCCGGCCUGAGAGGGUGACCGGCCACACUGGGACUGAGAUACGGCCCAGACUCCUACGGGAGGCAGCAGUGGGGAAUAUUGCACAAUGGGCGCAAGCCUGAUGCAGCGACGCCGCGUGAGGGAUGACGGCCUUCGGGUUGUAAACCUCUUUCAGCACCGACGAAGCGCAAGUGACGGUAGGUGCAGAAGAAGGACCGGCCAACUACGUGCCAGCCGCCGCCGUAA
rnacentral:rRNA from 1 species